GGAAUGGGGGUCGCAUCAGGGACAGUAAAGCCUAGUGGUGCUCAUGGUAACCUGACUAAUACCAACCUUUGAUUUAUCAAAGUAAGAUCUAAUUCAGUCUGCCAAACUAUUUCAAGGCACCCAAUAUGAAUAGCUGCAGUGUUGGAUCAGAAGUAGCUUGCUAAGCUCCAAGGAGGACAUUCUGUUUUCAUGUCCCCAUGAUGGAAGUAGAAACAUAACAACUGCAAAUUAAUUAACAUGAUACAGAAAAGGGAGAAUACAAAUGCUGAAGCCCUCACUUUAAGCCCUCAUACUCUUUUGUUCUCCAUUAUUGCACCAAAUUAUUUAAUUGGGUCUCUCUGAUUGUGCACAGACACAGAAAAGAACACAGUCUAUUGUGAGAAGCCCUACAACCAUAAUGCAGUAUCAAAUUCAAUUCCCAUCAAAAGUGCUUGCUGCUAAAAGCCUGUACUGUGGCUGCAGAUUAAUGAAGAUCUGCAUUGAGCAAAGUGGUGGUCGUAGAGACAUUAUUUUUCUCCAAUAGAAGGCCUAUUCUUGAAGAACAAUAAAAGCAUAGAAAAGCGUUAGUCUGCUUAUGGAUGGAAAUAAAUCAAAAUGAAUAAGAGGGUUGAUGGAAAUAGUCUGAAAGCAGUAGAGUGGAAUUCUGAAAAUACUGUUUUUGUUUUGUAAGGAUUUUUUCCCCCAUAGUCUCUCAAAAAUGCUGCUUGAUGGAGGCUCGAAAGCCUUGGAGUGAAGGACAAAUUUCAAAAAUCAGAAACUAAUUGCAGAAAAUCAACAUUUCACAAACACAUUUUUUCUGCAGAAAUGUUGCACAGAAUCUGGACUCAAAAUAAGAAGAAAAUGUAAAAAAGAAGGAAAAUCAGUGAUAUGAACUAAUACACAAGUCUGACUCAAAGAACAACGAACAACUCGGAAACAGCAUUCAAUCACAUUGAGAUGAAUUCCUUUCCUUCUUCUUGACACAAUUUUGUACACUGUUUUUCUUUUUUCUUCAUGUUUCCGUGUCAAAAUCAACUUUGUGCUUGUUUAUAUCAACUAGUAGGGCCAAAUCCUAGCAUAUUUAGCAGCAAAACGAACAUUGCCGUCAACUGUAGCUCGACAAGCACGUGACUGUAAUAUUAAGCAAUUUCUUUUCAGAGCCAUGGAGUUGUUCCAUUCAUACUUACAGGUGGAAUCACCUCAGCAUUGCUUGAUGCUGGAGCGGUUUGAACAAUGAGCAGAGUACUUGGGUAAAGCAGACAGACAUUGCCAUCAGUCAGUCGUUGUCAGUCUGUUCAGAGAGGAGGGGACCCACGCUCACAUCACCAAAGGUCACCUACCAAGUGAAGAUAGCCAGGCUAAGAUGCUGAACAGGUUGAAGCUCCUCUCUGGAAGCCUCCUCCUCUCCUUUGCAUAAAAAAGCCAUGGCAUUUGGGUUUCUGACUUGAGUGAACUGUUGGUUGCUUAAAAUGAGGCAAGAUAAAUCUGAAACAGAGAUAUCUAUUUUAAAUACUUAAUCUCAGUCCUUCACUUCACUCCCAGCAUCCCAGUUGCAUCUACAAUCACAGGUGAUGCAGAGACCGAGUGCCUGAUUUACAUUAGUUUACUCAGGAAGUGGUUCCACCUCUGCACUGAGGAUACACAUUUAGAAAUAAGAAAUCCAGAGGCAGGUCUGGGACAAUAGAUGCUUUAUUAUCAUCACGUUAGGCUACUUUUUACCAGGUCUUUCAGGCCCAAGUUACCCAAAGACCUGAAAUCCUUCUUUGAGAAGAACAUCUGUUCUUCAAAGAAGUCAUUGGUAUGAAAGCCUGAGAAGUAACAAAAUCUCAUUCUUGAACUAGAGCAGCUGGUGGGUGAUUCUGUGCAUUGCCGUGAUUCAGAGGUGCAUAGUGGCUUGUUCUCUGUGAUAAACUACCCCAUGUUGAAUGAUAUUGGCCUAAUAUUCAACCCAUUAAUUUACACAGAAUAAACCAGAGCUCAUCACAGCCAUUGAGUGAGAAGAGAUACGGGUUCUUAAUCUUAAUUGUAUUCAAAAUUGUGUCCUGAAUCCACCUUAUAGACUUAGUUAGAGUUUCAGUAGUCACCUAAGAUUUACAUUGCUGCUUGCUUUGAGUGCAUUGGAGGUGGUAACAAAGUGGAAAUGCACUUCUUGACCUAUAUUUUACCCUGGAUUAGGUCACACAAAAACAUGAAGUAACUUUGAAUUAUACUGUAGAAUAAUUUGUCAUUAUUCCAAGCUCUGCUUUUUCUUUUUAUUAAUUAGUAUUUCCCAAGUCUAACCUCUACAUAUUUGAGAAGAUCUUCCAGAACAGUUCCAAGGAGCUGUGUUCCUCUGGUGACACAUGUAGUGCGACUAAACUUUAAAAAUGGCUCAAUUUUUGAAAGGUGUCAACUCCAACACCUUGUACCCUCUUAGAGAAGCUGCCACUGUGCAUCCAGACCUGACUGCUCUGAUUUCCUUAUGAAGAGGAACCUGAAUUCAAGACAUUGUAGAUGUUGAGUUGGUCCAAAGACAGAAGUACAGAAAUGGAUGCUUCCAGGUCUUCCACAGGCUGGGAACACACACAGGAACAGUCUGGAUGUGGGCAGCUGUAGCACUAGCACAGAUCUGUGCAGGACAUGGGCUGUAAAUAGACAGUUACAAUACCAUGUCACAUUUACAUUGGCCUGGGUCUGUUGUGUGCAGUCUGAUGAACUUUGCAUAGACUUAAGAGCCCCUAAAUAUUUAUGUUGAAUGAAAAGGCCUGAAAAUAAAAGAGGGUUAGGCAUACCAGACACGCACUCUCUGGUGAUAGUUUCAGUGGCAAUGAAAUACAUUGGAUAUCCCACAUUUCUGCAUGGGCUGGAGGAGACAGCACAGGACUAAAGAGAGACCCACGCUCUUCUGGAGACACAGCUGGAGGCCAAGUGGGACACUUCACAGUGCCCAAAGUGACACCAUUGCUUCUACAUGACUGAGUGCCAGCUCCUUGUCAGUGCUGUACCAUGACCCUGCUUUCUUGGGGGAUAAGACUAGUUAAAAUGGAGAGGCUGGACAUAUUUUGCAGCACAAACAACAUAGAGUGUUUGGUUUACUGUUCCUUUCUUAGUUAGUUCCCCCUUACUAAACUUUAUCAUUUUGGUAGCUGAUGAUAACAAUCUAGAUAAAGCCAGAGUUUUAUGCAGCAUUGAUGGUCACCAUCCUCUCCUCACUAUCCUCUCUCCAGAUGCCAGUGGUGAAUCUCACCCGAGGUCCAUGAGGCAAACCCUGCUGUGGGGAAUGGGACAUGCUGCAUGGGUAGCACUACUCCCGGGUAUUCACCAGCACACAGUGUGGACUCAGUAGUCCAAAAUUGAUGGGGGUUGAGAUGGUCCCAGGUGCUUACAGACUCGCAUUCUCCCAUCUCCACGGGAAGUAACAGCCUUUUGGUGCAUCCAAGAGCUGCUUGGAAAUUAUAUUGAACCGCCUGAAAUGGGAAAAGGAACAGAGGAGUCACUCACUGUUUCUAAGGCUGCAGAUUGCAAUGAUCUUAGCUUUUGGUAUGAUACCUGUGGCGAUACCCCUUCUCAUUUUUCAAGUAAGCUUCCUGGCACUGUCUGAUAAAAAAUUACUUGAACAGUGGUAGGUCUCAUCCUAUGAAACUUAACUGUCCUUUUUUUUAAAAAAAAAUUAUUUAUUACAGGUUGUAAAACACUAAAAAAGAUAUUAUAA